GUGGGGAAUAUUGCACAAUGGGGGAAACCCUGAUGCAGCGACGCCGCGUGGAGGAAGAAGGUCUUCGGAUUGUAAACUCCUGUUGUUGAGGAAGAUAAUGACGGUACUCAACAAGGAAGUGACGGCUAACUACGUGCCAGCAGCCGCGGUAAAACGUAGGUCACAAGCGUUGUCCGGAAUUACUGGGUGUAAAGGGAGCGCAGGCGGGAGAACAAGUUGGAAGUGAAAUCCAUGGGCUCAACCCAUGAACUGCUUUCAAAACUGUUUUUCUUGAGUAGUGCAGAGGUAGGCGGAAUUCCCGGUGUAGCGGUGGAAUGCGUAGAUAUCGGGAGGAACACCAGUGGCGAAGGCGGCCUACUGGGCACCAACUGACGCUGAGGCUCGAAAGUGUGGGUAGCAAACAGGAUUAGAAACCCCGGUAGUCC
rnacentral:rRNA from 1 species